AGAAUGAACGCUGGCGGCGUGCUUAACACAUGCAAGUCGUGCGCGAAGGCGGCUUCGGCUGCCGGAGAGCGGCGAACGGGUGAGUAACACGUGGGUAAUCUGCCUGGGAGCGGGGGAUAACCUGGGGAAACUCGGGCUAACACCGCAUACGUUGUCGGUCUUUUGGGACUGACAGGAAAGCUGGCCUCUGCUUGCAAGCUAGCGCUCCCAGAGGAGCCCGCGGCUGAUUAGCUAGUUGGUGAGGUAAUGGCUCACCAAGGCGACGAUCAGUAGCCGGCCUGAGAGGGUGAUCGGCCACACUGGGACUGAGACACGGCCCAGACUCCUACGGGAGCAGCAGUGGGAAUAUUGGACAAUGGGCGCAAGCCUGAUCCAGCAACGCCGCGUGGAGAUGAAGGUCUUCGGAUCGUAAACUCCUGUCAGACGGACGAAGGGCUCGGUAAAUAAUCGACGUCUUGACGGUACGUCAGAGGAAGCCCGCUAACUCCGUGAC
rnacentral:rRNA from 1 species